UGGACGAAGUCUGACGGAGCAACGCCGCGUGAGUGAUGAAGGUUUUCGGAUCGUAAAACUCUGUUGUUAGGGAAGAACAAGUACCGUUCGAAUAGGGCGGUACCUUGACGGUACCUAACCAGAAAGCCACGGCUAACUACGUGCCAGCAGCCGCGGUAAUACGUAGGUGGCAAGCGUUGUCCGGAAUUAUUGGGCGUAAAGCGCGCGCAGGCGGUUUCUUAAGUCUGAUGUGAAAGCCCCCGGCUCAACCGGGGAGGGUCAUUGGAAACUGGGGAACUUGAGUGCAGAAGAGGAGAGUGGAAUUCCACGUGUAGCGGUGAAAUGCGUAGAGAUGUGGAGGAACACCAGUGGCGAAGGCGACUCUCUGGUCUGUAACUGACGCUGAGGCGCGAAAGCGUGGGGAGCGAACAGGAUUAGAUACCCUGGUAGUCCACGCCGUAAACGAUGAGUGCUAAGUGUUAGAGGGUUUCCGCCCUUUAGUGCUGCAGCAAACGCAUUAAGCACUCCGCCUGGGGAGUACGGUCGCAAGACUGAAACUCAAAGGAAUUGACGGGGGCCCGCACAAGCGGUGGAGCAUGUGGUUUAAUUCGAAGCAACGCGAAGAACCUUACCAGGUCUUGACAUCCUCUGACAACCCUAGAGAUAGGGCUUCCCCUUCGGGGGCAGAGUGACAGGUGGUGCAUGGUUGUCGUCAGCUCGUGUCGUGAGAUGUUGGGUUAAGUCCCGCAACGAGCGCAACCCUUGAUCUUAGUUGCCAGCAUUCAGUUGGGCACUCUAAGGUGACUGCCGGUGACAAACCGGAGGAAGGUGGGGAUGACGUCAAAUCAUCAUGCCCCUUAUGACCUGGGCUACACACGUGCUACAAUGGGCAGAACAAAGGGCAGCGAAGCCGCGAGGCUAAGCCAAUCCCACAAAUCUGUUCUCAGUUCGGAUCCGCAGUCUGCAACUCGACUGCGUGAAGCUGGAAUCGCUAGUAAUCGCGAUCAGCAUGCCGCGGUGAAUACGUACCCGGGACCUGGUACACGUCGUCCGUCACACCACGAGAAGUUUGUAACACCGAAUCGGUCAGUACCCUUUUGGAGCUAGCCCGAUGUGGACAGAUGAUUGAGUGCAGUCGACCACGCUAGCGUAGCGG
rnacentral:rRNA from 1 species